GACGAACGCUGGCGGCGUGCUUAACACAUGCAAGUCGAACGGUAAGGCCCUUCGGGGUACACGAGUGGCGAACGGGUGAGUAACACGUGGGUGAUCUGCCCUGCACUUCGGGAUAAGCCUAGGAAACUGGGUCUAAUACCGGAUAGGACCACUGCCUGCAUGGGUGGUGGUGGAAAGCUUUUGCGGUGUGGGAUGGGCCCGCGGCCUAUCAGCUUGUUGGUGGGGUGAUGGCCUACCAAGGCGACGACGGGUAGCCGGCCUGAGAGGGUGACCGGCCACACUGGGACUGAGAUACGGCCCAGACUCCUACGGGAGGCAGCAGUGGGGAAUAUUGCACAAUGGGCGCAAGCCUGAUGCAGCGACGCCGCGUGAGGGAUGACGGCCUUCGGGUUGUAAACCUCUUUCAGCACCGACGAAGCGCAAGUGACGGUAGGUGCAGAAGGAGGACCGGCCAACUACGUGCCAGCCGCCGCAGUAA
rnacentral:rRNA from 1 species